AAGCGGCGCAGGGUGAGUACACGUGGGUAAUCACCCUUUGGUGGGGGACAAGGUCGGGAGACCGGGGCUAAUACCGCAUACGAUCAUCUUCUCUCCGGAGAGGGUGGGGAAAGGGGGCCUCUCCACAUGGAAGCUCUCGCCAAAGGACGAGCUCGCGUCCCAUCAGCUUGUUGGUGGGGUAAUGGCCUACCAAUGCAACGACUGGUAGCUGGUCUGAGAGGAUGAUCAGCCACAGUGGAACUGAGACACGGUCCAUACUCCUACGGGAGGCAGCAGUGGGGAAUAUUGCGCAAUAGGGGAAACCCUGACGCAGCGACGCCGCGUGGGUGAUGGAGGCCUUCGGGUCGUAAAGCCCUGUUGGAGAUGGGCGAAACACCGGUAGGAACAAUACCCUACCGGCCUGACGGUACUUCUCCAGAAAGCACCGGCUAACUCCGUGCCAGCAGCCGCGGUAAGACGGAGGGUGCUAACGUUGCUCGGAAUUACUGGGCGUAAAGCGCGUGUAGGCGGACUGGAAAAGCGAGACGUGAAAGCCCUCGGCUUAACCGAGGAAGCGCCUCUCGAACUAUCAGUCUUGAGUGCGGGAGAGGGAGGUAGAAUUCCCGGUGUAGAGGUGAAAUUCGUAGAUCUCGGGAGGAAUA
rnacentral:rRNA from 1 species